rnacentral:rRNA from 1 species
UACGUAGGGGGCAAGCGUUGUUCGGAAUUACUGGGCGUAAAGGGCGCGUAGGCGGCACGACCAGUCGGGAGUGAAAGCCCGGGGCUCAACCCCGGAGGGUCUCUCGAUACUGUCGAGCUAGAGUGCGGAAGGGGCAACCGGAAUUCUCAGUGUAGCGGUGAAAUGCGUAGAUAUUGCUCGGAAGGCCAGAGGCGAAGGCGGGUAACUGGCACGCAACUGACACUGAGGCACGAAAGCGUGGGGAGCAAACAGG